rnacentral:rRNA from 1 species
UACGGGGGGGGCAAGCGUUGUUCGGAAUUACUGGGCGUAAAGGGCUCGUAGGUGGCCAACUAAGUCAGACGUGAAAUCCCUCAGCUUAACUGGGGAACUGCGUCUGAUACUGGAUGGCUUGAGUUUGGGAGAGGGAUGCGGAAUUCCAGGUGUAGCGGUGAAAUGCGUAGAUAUCUGGAGGAACACCGGUGGCGAAGGCGGCAUCCUGGACCGGUACUGACGCUGAUGCGCGAAAGCGUGGGGAGCAAACGGG